rnacentral:rRNA from 1 species
AUGCGGUCAAUGCCGGCGUCUCCAUUGCCGCUCCUGGCCCCCUCUACCUUCUACCUCUUCGUCAUCUUCUUGCUGCCGCUGCUCUGCUGCCCGCUCGCGGCCAAUGGAGGAGGGGCUCCGCCGCCCAUGGCUUCCUCUCCGGCGGCUGCGGCCGCGUCCACGGCCGUCGGCGACCUCGCCUCCUCGAACGGCAGCGUCGCUGCGCCUCCGGCAGCCGCGGCGCCUGCUCCCUUUGUGCUCACAGUGGAAGCGGAGGAAACGCACCACCAUUUGCGCAGGCAGAUUAUCAUCGCCGUCGUCCUCGCCUCCAUCGCCGGUGUGAUGAUCGUCCUCGCCGUGCUUUUUGCCUGCAUCGCGUGGCGGCGAUAUCGCGGAGCUCCAGACGACUUCAAGGACACCCAAAGCACAGAUACCCAAAGGAUAGCAUUGGUGCCAAUCUUGAACAGGUUCAACUCAUUCAAGGCUACUACCAAGAAGGGCCUUGUGGCGAUGAUGGAGUACGCGUCGCUGGAGGCGGCGACGGGCAAUUUCAGUGAGAGCAAUGUGCUCGGGGUCGGUGGAUUCGGGUGUGUGUAUAAGGCCAAUUUUGAUGGAGGGUUUGUCGCCGCGGUGAAGAGGCUGGGGUGCGAGGGACAGGAGUAUGAGAAAGAAUUUGAGAAUGAGCUGGAUUUGCUUCAGAGGAUUCAGCAUUCGAAUAUAGUGUCCCUUGUGGGCUUUUGCAUUCAUCAGGAGAACCGCUUCAUUGUUUAUGAGCUGAUGGUGAAUGGAUCACUGGAAACACAACUUCAUGGACCAUCACAUGGAUCAGCUCUAAGCUGGCACAUUCGGAUGAAGAUUGCUCUGGAUACAGCAAGGGGAUUGGAGUAUCUUCACGAACACUGCAACCCACCAAUCAUCCAUAGGGAUCUGAAGUCGUCUAACAUACUUUUGGAUUCAGAUUUUAAUGCAAAGAUUUCAGAUUUUGGCCUUGCAGUGACAAGUGGAAAUCGCAGCAAAGGGAAUCUGAAGCUUUCCGGUACUUUGGGCUAUGUUGCCCCUGAGUACUUACUAGAUGGGAAGUUGACUGAGAAGAGCGAUGUAUAUGCAUUUGGAGUAGUACUUCUUGAGCUUCUAUUGGGAAGGAGGCCAGUUGAGAAGAUGGCACCAUCUCAGUGCCAGUCAAUUGUUACAUGGGCCAUGCCCCAGCUAAUUGACAGAUCCAAGCUCCCUACCAUAAUCGACCCCGUGAUCAGGGACACGAUGGAUCGGAAGCACUUGUACCAAGUUGCUGCAGUGGCUGUGCUCUGCGUGCAGCCAGAACCAAGCUACAGGCCACUGAUCACAGAUGUCCUCCACUCUCUGAUUCCCCUGGUGCCCAUGGACCUUGGAGGGUCGCUGAGGAUCAACCCGGAGUCGCCUUGCGGGGCACGAAACCAAUCUCCGUGCUGA